CGCAGCAGUCGCGACAACUUUGCAAUACACGAAAGUGUGACAGGGCUAUCCCGAGUGCCAUCCGCUGAGGAAGGCUUUUACCCAGUCUAGAAAGCUGCGUUGUGCAAUACGGAGAGGGCAAGUCUGGUGUCAGCCGCCGCGGUAAUACCAGCUCUCCGACUGGUGUUGAUGUUUAUUGGGCCUAAAGCAUCCGUAGCUGGCUAAGUUAGUCCCCUGUUAAAUCCACCGAAAUAAUCGUUGGAUCGCGGGGGAUACUGCUUGGCUAGGGGACGAGAGAGGCAGACGGUAUUUUCGGGGUAGGGGUGAAAUCCUAUAAUCCCGGGAAGACCACCAGUGGCGAAGGCUGUCUGCUAGAACGCGCCCGACGGUGAGGGAUGAAAGCUGGGGGAGCGAACCGGAUUAGAUACCCGGGUAGUCCCAGCUGUAAACGAUGCAGGCUAGGUGUUUGGACGGCCACGUGCCGUUCUAGUGCCGCAGGAAGCUGUAAGCCUGCGCCUGGGAGUACGAUCGCAAGAU
rnacentral:rRNA from 1 species